ACUUUGUAGGAUUUUUAAAAAUAUAAAUAUCCCCAAAGCCUUCCACAGUGUAUUAACACAGUACACAGGCAAUAGUUACUUCAGACCCAUGUUUCUAAACUUGGCUUGCAAUGCGGAAGAGAUGAGACAUGGGCCUAGGGUAGAGACUGGAUAUUGAGCACAGCCAGUAAACUUGAAUUGAGAAGGAUACUGUCAUUGGUGAGUUUGAGAUCUGCCAGUUAUCUCACCUUUGGAGGUAAGCUGGAAGCUCGGGAAAGGGGGACUUGCUAACUCAGAAGGGGAGGUCAUUUGAGAGCCUUGGUGAAGGGCAGGGCAUACACUGACAAUUAAGGCCCAGAUAUGAGCGAGGAAGGCUAGAGAGAAGAGUUAAAGGGGGUCCUGGGAAGACCAUCAGAGGUCUGCGGCAAGGGCGCUAACCUAGGCUAAAGCGUUACUAAUCUAGGGAAGGAGACUUAGCACUGUGCGCCUUUUCCCACCAUGGCUUUUUAGGUUUCACUUUUUCUCUUUCAGUCUUUUCGAAUAUUCU
rnacentral:lncRNA from 1 species